ACCUGGUUGAUCCUGCCAGUAAUCAUUCGUUUGUCUUAAAGAUUAAGCCAUGCACGUUUAUGUAUAAGGGUAUAUAUGGGGAAACUGCAGACGGCUCAUUAAAUCAGUUAUAGUUUAUUUGAUGGCAAAUUGUAGUUGGAUACCUAUAGGAAGUCUAAAGUUAAUACAUGCAUAAAUUUUAACUUUCGGAGAUGCGUACUUAUUAAUUGGAAAAAUCGAUUCAUUUUAGUUGAUUUAUGGUAGACACACGGAUCGCACAGUUUUAAGUUAGUGAUAAUUCAUCUAAAUUUUUGCCCUAUCAAUUUGCGAUGGUAUGGUAGUGGCUUACCAUGGUUUUUACGGGUAACGAAGGAUUAGGGUUUGAUUCCGGAGAGGGAGCCCGAGAAAUGGCUGCCACAUCUAAGGAAGGCAGCAGGCGCGAAAAUUACCCAAUAUAAAUGUUGUGAGGUAGUGACAAUAAAUAACAAUAUUGGGCUUUAAAAGUUUAGUAAUCGGAAUGAGAACAYUUUAAACAUCUUAUUAAGGAUCUAUUGGAGGGCAAGUCUGGUGCCAGCAGCCGCGGUAAUUCCAGCUCUAAUAGCGUAUAUUUAAGUUGUUGCGAUUAAAAAGUUCGUAGUUGUAUUUUGGGCACACCCAUUGGUCCAUUCUUUAAGGAUGAGUAUCAAUGUGGUAUGUUUUAAAACGCGAACCAUGCUCUUGGGCUUUAUUGCUCGGGAUAUGGGGUGUGUGAUGUCACUUUGAGUAAAAUAGAGUGCUUAAAGUAAGCAUAUGCUCUGUAUAUUUUAGCAUGGAAUGACAUGAUAGGAUUUCCGUUCGUGUGUUCGGUUUACGAUACGGUGGUAAUGAUUGAUAGGGUCAAUUAGGGGCAUUCUUAUUUCAUUGUCAGAGGUGAAAUUCUUGGAUUAACGAAAGAGGAACAAAUGCGAAAGCACUCGCCAAAGGUGUCCUCGUUGAUCAAGAACGAAAGUUGGGGGAUCGAAGAUGAUUAGAUACCAUCCUAGUCUUAACCAUAAACUAUGCCAAUUGGGGAAUAGCGAGUGUUUAAUAGUAACCUUGCUAGUGCCCUAUGAGAAAUUAUUAGUAUCUAGGUUCUGGGGGUAGUAUGGUCGCAAGGCUGAAACUUAAAGGAAUAGACGGAAGGGCACCACCAGGCGUGGAGCCUGCGGCGUAAUUAACUCAACGUAGAGAAACUUACUAGGUUAAGACAUAGGUAGGAUUGACAGAUUGAUAGUUUUUUUUUAAUUCUAUGGGUGGUGGUGCAUGGCCAUUCUUAGUUCGUGGGUUAUCUUGUCUGGUUUACUCCGUUAACGAACGAGACCUCAACCUGUUAAAUAGGCACUUUUCUUUAUUAAAGGUGUGCGUUUUCUUAGAGGGACCAUCGGUUYAAGCCAAUAGAAGUUUGAGGUAAUAAUAGGUCUGUGAUGCCCUUAGAUGUUCUAGGCCGCACGCGGGCUACACUGAUGCACUCUACAAGCUCCCUUAGUCGAGAGACCCGGGUAAUCUAUGCGCAUGCAUUGUGUUGGGGCUAGAAUAUUGCAAUUAUUAUUUUUUAACGGGGAAUGCCUAGUARGUKCCGRUYAUYAKYCGRKGUYGAYUAWGUCCCUGCCCUUUGUACUCACCGCCCGUCGCUUGAUCCGACGUURCAGUUGGURAAAUGUUUGGAUCRRKUUWRURUCAUGAAARUGWYGYWWRAYYKARAAGUUCUUUGAACCACCUGUUAUGGAGGAAGAAGAAGUCGUAACAAGGCYGUAGUAGAUGAAUCUGCCACGGGAUCAUUG
rnacentral:rRNA from 1 species